GGUCAAGUUAUUAAGGGUGCAGGGCGGAUGCCUUGGCACUAGGAGCCGAUGAAGGACGUGAUAAGCUGCGAUAAGCUUCGGGGAGUUGCACGUAAACUUUGAUCCGAAGAUUUCCGAAUGAGGAAACUCACUUAGAGUAAUGUCUAAGUAUCAUUAAGUGAAUACAUAGCUUAAUGAGGGGAACUCAGGGAACUGAAACAUCUAAGUACCUGAAGGAAGAGAAAGAAAUUCGAUUCCGUAAGUA
rnacentral:rRNA from 1 species